GGCCCGGAGGAGGGCGGACGAGUAGGGGACCCCUCGGCAAGCGCGGGCCUCGCCCCAGGACCCCGGGCCCCGCGUUGGCCGGCGGUGCGCUGUCAGCACAUGGGCAAAGCCACACGGCGUGUUUUCAGCACACAGUUCUGUUUUCCAGUGUAAAUCUGCAUUUCUGCUCCUCGGAUUUCCCCGAACGUCCCCCGCCCCCACUUCCCCGGAGAUCUCGUGAAAGCGGGGAGCAGAUCAGGCGUGAGCGUGAGACGGAGAGGGCGGCGGGGAGCAGAGCCUCAUCAGGCGGCGCAGGAGGGCUUGGGGGGCGGACGGAAGAUGCGAGUCGGGUGAACUGGCGGGACCCCCCGGGAAGGGAGCCGCGGCGCCGCCAACCCCCAGAGCAACCAGACCGCCCGGCGGCAGGCUGGCGACGGCAGGAGGGUCUGCGCACCCGACGGAGAGCAGGGGGCGCGGGGGCCCGCGUGUCUGCCCGGGCGGCCGCGGCCCCACCCAAGCACGGUGCCUGCGGCGGGGGGCUCACCCCGAGGGCCUGCCGUCCAGGGGCUGCCGUGGGGACGCGGGGCUGUGCCUUCCCACAAGCAGGUCCCCAGCGUACGAGAGACGCGGGCGCACCCUUCUCGGGGACGCAGCGGCCUGGCCGAAGGCCCUGAACCCUUCUCUGGUGGAAACAGUAACUCACACACACCCAUUAAUUCAAUAUCCCAACAGCCCCAAGCUUCCAAUGUGAAGAAGCUACUGGGUUUUGUCUUCCAGCAAGAGGAUGUGGGGUCCAGAACGCAGCGAACCCAGGGGAGCACCCGCACGGCAGGUGACAAGGAGAGUUCCUUGUGGUCGGCUUGGGGGCAGCUCCUCCGCACCAGGGGACACCUCCUCGCCAACUGGGCUGCUGAUGGCCCAGUGAGGUUCUCCGCCCCAAGAGGAGCUGCCUAGCUCCGCCUGGAAGGUCCGGCGCAGAAUGUGCCCCAUUUCUGUGGUGUUGAUGGGAUGUACUCCGGAGCCCGCCCUUCCCUCCAGAUGGAAGUCCAGCCACAGCAGGAGCCCUCGGCCACCCUGUGUCUCCCAUGCCAAACGGCCUGCAUCUUGGGAAGCUGCUGCUCAGAAUGUGUCAGUGACCGGGCGGGAUGCUGGCCCAGCGCCCCUGGAGCCCCGGGUCCCCGGGCAGACACCCCCCCCACAGGAGGUGCCACAGCACUGACGGCAGAAACCAGAAAAUAGCCACAGUCCACAUCCUUCUUGUGGCACUGGGAAAGUCUACAACUCCAGAGCAGGCUGGGAGUUAAGGAGGGCAGACGGAGCACUUAAAUCUGGAUGUUUUAAAGUCAUAUUUUCUACCUCCUGGAAAAGAAGGAAAUGCAGACUGUGUGUCCAACACGCAGAGCUGCUGAGGGAGCUGCCCACCCCCAUCUGCCUGGCUGAUUCCUGGGAGCCAAAUGCUCAAUAAUUCAGAAGGAGCAAGAAUCAGCAUAUCUUACAGCAUAUUUGAUGCAGCCACAGCCUGCAGACUUGUUUCAUUCCCGUUAUGUCUCUGUGGCCAGCAAAAGCCCAGCAACACGGAGAGCCAGGCCCGCGGCACGGCCAGUGCGGUGUCUCUGUUUCUCCUCCUCCAGGGGCAGCCACGGCCCUCGCCCCUCUUCAUACUCCCUUUAUCUGCUAUUGUUCUCGCCUAUCAUCUUACCUGGGGUCAAGUGACUCUCCCCCACGCAGGAGUGAGGGCUCGGCUUCAUUUCAAGGCCCCUUCUGAUCUCCAGGCUAAUUGGCUCAGGUAUAAACCAAGCCAGCAGGGCCACGACUUUGAAGUGGCAGGGCUGUGCCGUGCCUGGAACAUCCUGGUCUGUGUGUCACAUGCCCAUCGGCCGGCCUGCUGCUAAGGCCACUAAUGAAAAUGCCAGUGGUCGCUGUGCAUUACAGGUUCGCAUCCACGCUGGCACUUCACUGUAAGCUUGCCAUUAACUUUGCAGGCUGCGCCUAGAAUGCAAUCCGACCUGUUUUUAGUAAGGGGAGGGUGUGUGCCAGACCAUGCAAGUCGCAUGGGGACACCAGCUGUUCCUCCUCUACAUAGUGUGCCACCCCACGCUUUGAUCAACAAUGCUGUUUCGCUUGAAAGGGGGCUCAUUUUGUAAAGGUGCAGGGUGGGCCCCUGCCCUGUGCCUGUGGCCUGCUGUCUGCAUGCACAAUUACGGAAAGGUCAGCCCAGCACAGGGGACACUUGCUGUUUCAUCUGAUGCCAUUUUUUCUUGGGCUCUUUAAAGGGCACGCCCACCACAGGGCGCAAACCCAGCCUGCGUUUGGUCACCAGUGAGGCCUUCAGAAGGAAGAAAAGCAAGGAAAUGCAGCUGAGACUGAUUUUUCUCUGACCCUCUUCAUUUUCCAUAUCCAACCCACAACGUGAAAACAACAUACAGAAUGGCAUCCUUUCCCAGGGCGCCCGGCAGCCGGAAGGUGCCGCAGAACCUUGCCUGUGCUCUGGAACCUGUGGCCCCUGAUCCCUUCUGCUCCUCUUCCAGGCUCUGGCACAUGCAGACUCCCCACACUCAGCUCCAUGCUCAACAAAUGAUUUCCAAAACCACGUCUUCAUCAACGUUUUCAGGAAUGAAACAAGUUCAUGUAGCCGUGUGGUGAGCACAGAAUACAGUGGACACUUCAAUGUUAUUUGAGCAGUGAAAUAUGGGACUUUCAGGAACCUUUGCACUAGAGGCCUGCAAACCCCCAGGCCCCGGGGAUAUAAACGUGCACACGUUUGUGGGCCGGCCCCUUGGGUGGCUGAACCAAGCACCACAGGCUGGGUUGCUUAGACAACUGACAUUUGUUCUGCUGCCCUGCAGGCGGAAGUCCAAGAUCCAGGGAUUCGUCAAGCUUGUCACCCCUGAUGACUCUCCCCUUGGCUGUCGCCCUGCUGCGUCCCCACACGGCGGUCCCCCUGAGCAUCUGUAUCUGGUCUUCCCAUGCAGACAGCAGUCACUUGGAUCAGGGCCACCCCUCGUGGACCGUUCCACCUGUCGCCCCUGUAAAGACCCCAUCUCAGAUGCCACCACACUCUGAGGUGCUGGGCAUUAGGACUUCAGUAUGUGUAUUUUGAGGGACCCAGUCAGUCUCUGGCAGUAGUGAAAUAUGACAAGCCCUUAGCCGGAUGUUACGCCCUGAGCUGUGAUUCGGCUCUUGCUGUGUCCUAACAGAAGCAGGACUUGCACAUCAGGAGGACCAGAGGCCUGGGGUGAUGAGGGCCCCUGGAGGCUGAAGCCCUGACCCGUGUGAAGAGGAUCAGCAUGUAUCUGGGUCCCUGAGAGGCUGGGGGUUAAAUUCUGCUGCUUGCCAAGCAAAGGGGGGGUUCUGAAUCGGGGGUGGCUCCUUUCCUUCAGCACACCUACCAUGACUCUGGCCAGAGUUCUCAGGGAGAAAGGCUAUAAAAAUAAAAGUGACCCAUUUCCCUGAAGUCUUUGUGACACUUCAGACGGUCAGGUUUCCCUGCUGUGGCACCAGCAUGUUCUCCGGCAACUCGAGGCCUGUCCUCUGCUGGACCCCAGCGUCCCUGGAGUGGGGCUCCCUCCGCUGCAGGCAUCACCGCCUCCCAGGGUGCCCGUGUCAGAGCUGCUGAUAUUGGUGCCAGCAACAGCUGAUGCAUAGAAAACUCAGCCUGUUACUCAGUAGUCUCCCAGGCCCCUCA